AAAGCUCUAUGAUCUGUUUU
rnacentral:snRNA from 1 species